rnacentral:rRNA from 1 species
GACGAACGCUGGCGGCGUGCCUAAUACAUGCAAGUAGAACGCACAGUUUAUACCGUAGCUUGCUACACCAUAGACUGUGAGUUGCGAACGGGUGAGUAACGCGUAGGUAACCUGCCUGGUAGCGGGGGAUAGCUAUUGGAAACGAUAGCUAAUACCGCAUAAUAUUGAUUAUUGCAUGAUAAUUAAUUGAAAGGUGCAAUUGCACCACUACCAGAUGGACCUGCGUUGUAUUAGCUAGUAGGUGAGGUAACGGCUCACCUAGGCGACGAUACAUAGCCGACCUGAGAGGGUGAUCGGCCACACUGGGACUGAGACACGGCCCAGACUCCUACGGGAGGCAGCAGUAGGGAAUCUUCGGCAAUGGACGAAAGUCUGACCGAGCAACGCCGCGUGAGUGAAGAAGGUUUUCGGAUCGUAAAGCUCUGUUGUAAGAGAAGAACGGGUGUGAGAGUGGAAAGUUCACACUGUGACGGUAUCUUACCAGAAAGGGACGGCUAACUACGUG